CUUGAAGAUAACGAGCAGAAGAAUCCAUCCGACGCCUCUAAUCUGCCCCCACGAAUUUGCCUCAUCUGCGGGGAAAGAUGCCAUCUUGCAAUCAAAAUCAGAUCAAACAGAUCAGAAAAAGGGAGGAGAAGCGCAGGGAUAUGCACGUCGUUAGGAGGGCGACCGUCCACCGGACUCCGGUGAACUCGAGGGAGCUGUAGCGCGAGGGAAAGAGGCCAAUGGGUUACGGGUUUUGUCACGAGACCAGAAUUAUAACCACUAGCUGUUGAACCGGGCAGCCCGAACCGACCAACCAAGGCGACGAACCCGGUUCGAUCCGAACAGUUUAAGGAAUUCGAUAAAACCCUCGAAUCACUAAAACAAAACCUCACCGUCAGAUUCCAAGAUAGCCCUCCGCAUCCACCCAAAACACCCCAUUGCCUGAGGUCCUCUUCUUCGUUCCAACGAAGAUGCGUCUUGAGAUCUUAGCUCCACUUCAGUUGGAGCAUUUCGAUCUAAGAGCCAAAGUGCAAAAAAUCUUGAUUCUUAAGUGAAGUACAACUCAGUCGCAGAGGUUGGGGGAUUUUAAGCUGCCUCACAUCUUCAAUUAUCAACCCUACUUCACGUAAUCUCCCAAACCACUAACUUCUCUAAGAUUUUCAAUUUGUUUCUGUUGAUUAGGAACAGAAAAUGGUAAUGAUCACAAUCUGCUUCCAACCUAAAUUUAUGAGUUGGAAUUUUGUAUGGUUCUUGUGUUGAGCAUGUGUUGAUUAGGAAAGAAAUCACUCAUCUCAGUGACACCUCUCACUUCUGCUUCGGCCAAAUAAGAAAUAAACUGACAUGUUUAUUUUGAUUUAUCAAAAAAAGUUAUGGUUGUUGACUAUUUUUAUGAUUGUUGUGGUGGACACAAGUUGAUGGCUGCACUACAAUCUGUAGGCUCCUUCACUUCUAAUUUACACUUUGGGAAUAAUAAGUACAUUUGUAGGGUAAUAAUCUCAGUUUCCUGUGUAUGAGCAUAACCAGCAUAACAUACCAACUGUUAUUGGGGUUGUGCUCCUGAGCUUUGCUGGGAAGUUUUAGGAUGAAACAUUCCCAAUCAGGGGUUAAUAUGAUCGAAAAAUGACUUGAACCAGUUUCCGAUUUCGGCAAUAUGAAGAAAGUACCAUGAUGAUGGUAUUAGGAGAAAAAAAGAUAGUGAAGAGAAAGGAUGGAGUAGAAAAGAUUAGAGAAGGAUUAAUGGGGAAGGCAGAAGCUAGCUGCUCUUUUUCCAAUGACAAAUUAAAAACCAGUUGCAGGGCUUAUUUUUUGUAUCGAAUGAGUCUCUUAUUGAUAAAGGUUCAAUCUGCAAUCCACUUCUUAAUUUUGUUAGAACUCCAAAAUAAAGCGAAAAAUGAAAAGCUACCUUUGAUUACCAAACAUAAUUGAAGCUUAACACUUGACCAGGAUGCCCAAGAUGACCCUACAGAGUACUGGUAUCACACUGGUACCGGCACCAUAUCAAGAAUUGAGACCUUGACCAUGCAUUCAAGAUUUAUGCUGUUCUUAAUCAUAUAAAAUGUCUUCACUCUACAGAAGUUGAAUAAAGCAUCUUAUCUUACCUUAUGCUCUUUUUAGUCCGCGGCCAGUAUCGGAAACACAUGAGUAGCAAGUGCAACUAUGGAAGGAGCCGAUUCUUCACUACGGCAAACGUCAAAAGAUAUUUGUCACUGGACUGGAAGAAGAUUGCCCCCUCUUUUCUAGUCCAGACAUUGGGAGUCAGUAAUAUGUUAUAAAUUGUUACAUAAUGAAAUCUGCAUAGCAGGAAAUGACAAUAGAAAAUUGAACAUGUUCAUUUUAACUGCAAGAUGCACAACUUUUGACUCUUUUUCAUAAUGCAUUUGUUAGAUUUAGCAUCACCGGUCUGUUGCCCAAAAUUCUCCACAGAAUAUAUGGUCUCUGUUGACUGCCAUGUUGAUUGCACGCCUUUCUUUUAGGAUCUUUCGUGUGGUUUGCAGGAUCUUUAUGCCAUGAGGUGAGACAAGGUAAUCUUGCGUCUCUUGUUAAUGAAGGACCUGCAGAAUGGAUGGACAAAAGUCACAAGAAACGCUUCAUUCUUUGGCCAAGAAUUCAAGAUUGGGCUGAUCAUAACUUGAAUUUUGUGCAUAAAGUCUUGAAGGUGGACACAACCGUGCCACUCUUGUUGCUGCCUUCUCUGUAAAUAAGUGAAUAUGUUAAAACUUUGUUCGUUCGUUUACGAACUUGGAUGAUCUAAGAUUAGUGUUUGAAAGAUUUUUAUUAGCUGAACUGAAUUUGUAACCUUGGAAUGUAAGGUAGAAGGUUGACAAAUCAUUUUGUCAAGAUAUGCGAAGCCCAUUUGCUUUA